UGGUUAGGGGCAUACCAAACGUUAGGUCUUAGAUAGAGCUACACAUCUAUGCUGAUCCAUCGUCACAGAUUUCGAGGCGACGGUUAUCAGGGUCAUCUUAGGGUCGUCAAGCAAUUUAUGCUGAUAUUUCAAUUAUAGACUUGUGAUUUGAAAACAAGAAGGGUUGUCGGGGUUUAAUUCCUUUUGGUACAUCAAAGGAAAGAGUACAUAAUUCUCCGCUGUUUGCUUUCACGUUCAUACUGGAGCGAAUCCGCUUCUUGUAUUUUGUUUCGAUUAGAUGAGUUAAAAACCAAGUUUGCGUAGUUCUUCGUCUAUUUGGGAAGCUAAUUAAAAUAGUGUCAAUAUUUUACAUAAUUGCUCCUUUCAUAAAAUUGGUCAAACCUUUUCCUUGAUGGAUGUUAGUUCUUCGACGACUUGGGAAGAUGACAUCCUUUUUUUAGGUUCAUCUUCCAACAUUUUUAAAAGUAGAUUAUCCUUGUAAAAUUCGCGUACUUUGCCGUCAAUUUCUAUAAUAAAAAUGUGAACUCUUCGUUAA
rnacentral:lncRNA from 1 species